GAUGAACGCUGGCGGCGUGCCUAAUACAUGCAAGUCGAACGAAACUUCUUUAUCACCGAGUGCUUGCACUCACCGAUAAAGAGUUGAGUGGCGAACGGGUGAGUAACACGUGGGCAACCUGCCCAAAAGAGGGGGAUAACACUUGGAAACAGGUGCUAAUACCGCAUAACCAUAGUUACCGCAUGGUAACUAUGUAAAAGGUGGCUAUACUACCGCUUUUGGAUGGGCCCGCGGCGCAUUAGCUAGUUGGUAGGGUAAAGGCUUACCAAGGCAAUGAUGCGUAGCCGAAUUGAGAGGUUGAUCGGCCACAUUGGGACUGAGACACGGCCCAAACUCCUACGGGAGGCAGCAGUAGGGAAUCUUCCACAAUGGGCGAAAGCCUGAUGGAGCAAAGCCGCGUGGGUGAAGAAGGUCUUCGGAUCGUAAAACCCUGUUGUUAGAGAAGAAAGUGCGUGAGAGUAACUGUUCACGUUUCGACGGUAUCUAACCGGAAAGCCACGGCUAACUACGUG
rnacentral:rRNA from 1 species